rnacentral:rRNA from 1 species
ACGGGAGGCAGCAGUGGGGAAUAUUGGGCAAUGGGCGAAAGCCUGACCCAGCAACGCCGCGUGAAGGAUGAAGGUCUUCGGAUUGUAAACUUCUUUGAUCAGGGACGAAACAAAUGACGGUACCUGAAGAACAAGCCACGGCUAACUACGUGCCAGCAGCCGCGGUAAUACGUAGGUGGCGAGCGUUAUCCGGAUUUACUGGGUGUAAAGGGCGUGUAGGCGGUUCUGCAAGUCAGAAGUGAAAUUCCCGGGCUUAACUCGGGCGCUGCUUCUGAAACUGUAGAACUUGAGUACUGGAGAGGAUAGUGGAAUUCCUAGUGUAGCGGUAAAAUGCGUAGAUAUUAGGAGGAACACCAGUGGCGAAGGCGGCUAUCUGGACAGUAACUGACGCUGAGGCGCGAAAGCGUGGGGAGCAAACAGGAUUAGAUACCCUGGUA